CCCCAAAAAAAAAAGUGAAGAGAGGGACAAUUGGGUAAUCUGAAGAAACAACAGUGAGUCAUAGCUCAGAUAUUUCAAAGGAACUUUGCAACGGUGUAAUAACGGUGAGGCCGAGGACCAUAUCUUAAUUCUUUGGGACCACAGUUUGGGAACCACUGCUUUAACGACACAGGUACACAGCGGAAGCAUCCUUCUUGUGAAUGUCUCUGCAAAACUGGUAAGCUGUCCUGAGCCAACUCUCCUUUGGUCUUUGAAGAACUGCGCAGUGAGUUAUUCUGACACAUGGCACAGCAAUUUUUUUUAAUUAUUAUUAUUACAUUCUUUAUUAUUAUACUCUAGUUAUUAUUUUGUAAUUACAUUUAUUAUUUUAUUCUAUUAAUUUUAUUACAUUUAUUCUUGUACUAUUGUAUUAUUAUUACACUUAUUAUUUUACUUUGAUUAUUUGAUUGAUUAUUUUUUUGAUAUAUUGAUUACUUUAAUAUAUUGAUUUUUAAUAUAUUGAUUAUUUUACUUUAUUUAUUAUUUUGAUUCCAUUAAUUAUUUUACUGUGUUUAUUAUUAUUAUAUAGUCUAUGCAUUCUGAAUCUGCAGCUCUAACCUGAAUUGCUUUUAAAAAGCUUUUUUUAUUUAUUUGUUUUAAUUGUCUUUGAACUGCUUUACUGCAAUAUUUAUACAUCUUAAAUUCCAUUUCAACAUUGAUCUUUUGUACGUUUGUAAUGCUAUUGCUUUACAGUUGUUUCUGAUGUGGAGAAUAAUAAUAAUAAUUAUAUGUUUUCCAUUGUGUCCAUGCUUUGGAGAGGUAGUCUGCUAAAUCUCUCCCAGGUCACAAAAAGUGACUUGGUCCAAAAGGUUUUCUUUUCCUGAGACAACACUUCUUGGCAACCACUGGUGGUCCAUGGAGCCCAGGUUGGGAACCACUACUAUAAUGACACAGGUACACAGCGGAAGCAUCCUUCUUGUGAAUGUCUCAGCAAAACUGGUAAGCUGUCCUGAGCCAACUCUCCUUUGGUCUUUGAAGAACUGCGCAGUGAGUUAUUUUGACACAUGGCAC